rnacentral:rRNA from 1 species
UCCACGCUGUAAACGAUGAGUACUAGCUGUUGGAUCUGGUGUAAAAGAUUUAGUGGCGCAGCUAACGCGUUAAGUACUCCGCCUGGGGACUACGGCCGCAAGGCUAAAACUCAAAGGAAUUGACGGGGACCCGCACAAGCGGUGGAGCAUGUGGUUUAAUUCGAUGCAACGCGAAGAACCUUACCUACCCUUGACAUCCACAGAACUUUCCAGAGAUGGAUCGGUGCCUUCGGGAACUGUGAGACAGGUGCUGCAUGGCUGUCGUCAGCUCGUGUUGUGAAAUGUUGGGUUAAGUCCCGCAACGAGCGCAACCCUUAUCUUUAGUUGCCAUCAGGUAAUGCUGGGCACUCUAGAGAGACUGCCGC